rnacentral:tRNA from 3 species
GGGCCGGUAGAUCAGCUCGGUAGAUCGCUUGCUUCGCAAGCAAGAGGCCUCGGGUUCAAAUCCCGACCGGUCCA